rnacentral:rRNA from 1 species
GCAGUCGACGACUUCCGUUAUUGAUUAUGACGUACUUGUACUGAUUGAGAUUUUAACACGAAGUGAGUGGCGAACGGGUGAGUAACACGUGGGUAACCUGCCCAGAAGUAGGGGAUAACACCUGGAAACAGAUGCUAAUACCGUAUAACAGAGAAAACCGCAUGGUUUUCUUUUAAAAGAUGGCUCUGCUAUCACUUCUGGAUGGACCCGCGGCGUAUUAGCUAGUUGGUGAGGUAAAGGCUCACCAAGGCAGUGAUACGUAGCCGACCUGAGAGGGUAAUCGGCCACAUUGGGACUGAGACACGGCCCAGACUCCUACGGGAGGCAGCAGUAGGGAAUCUUCCACAAUGGACGCAAGUCUGAUGGAGCAACGCCGCGUGAGUGAAGAAGGGUUUCGGCUCGUAAAGCUCUGUUGUUAAAGAAGAACGUGGGUAAGAGUAACUGUUUACCCAGUGACGGUAUUUAACCAGAAAGCCACGGCUAACUACGUGCCAGCAGCCGCGGUAAUACGUAGGUGGCAAGCGUUAUCCGGAUUUAUUGGGCGUAAAGCGAGCGCAGGCGGUCUUUUAAGUCUAAUGUGAAAGCCUUCGGCUCAACCGAAGAAGUGCAUUGGAAACUGGGAGACUUGAGUGCAGAAGAGGACAGUGGAACUCCAUGUGUAGCGGUGAAAUGCGUAGAUAUAUGGAAGAACACCAGUGGCGAAGGCGGCUGUCUGGUCUGCAACUGACGCUGAGGCUCGAAAGCAUGGGUAGCGAACAGGAUUAGAUACCCUGGUAGUCCAUGCCGUAAACGAUGAUUACUAAGUGUUGGAGGGUUUCCGCCCUUCAGUGCUGCAGCUAACGCAUUAAGUAAUCCGCCUGGGGAGUACGACCGCAAGGUUGAAACUCAAAAGAAUUGACGGGGGCCCGCACAAGCGGUGGAGCAUGUGGUUUAAUUCGAAGCUACGCGAAGAACCUUACCAGGUCUUGACAUCUUCUGACAGUCUAAGAGAUUAGAGGUUCCCUUCGGGGACAGAAUGACAGGUGGUGCAUGGUUGUCGUCAGCUCGUGUCGUGAGAUGUUGGGUUAAGUCCCGCAACGAGCGCAACCCUUAUUACUAGUUGCCAGCAUUAAGUUGGGCACUCUAGUGAGACUGCCGGUGACAAACCGGAGGAAGGUGGGGACGACGUCAAAUCAUCAUGCCCCUUAUGACCUGGGCUACACACGUGCUACAAUGGAUGGUACAACGAGUCGCGAGACCGCGAGGUUAAGCUAAUCUCUUAAAACCAUUCUCAGUUCGGACUGUAGGCUGCAACUCGCCUACACGAAGUCGGAAUCGCUAGUAAUCGCGGAUCAGCAUGCCGCGGUGAAUACGUUCCCGGGCCUUGUACACACCGCCCGUCACACCAUGAGAGU